UCUGAUGUGUACCUUAUUCUCGUUUCCUUCCUUUUGAAUACACUCCUUAAAAUUAUAUUUUAGGGAUCAAAGUGUUUCAAAUCUUUUACUGUGAAGAAAUUAGAGUGUUCAAGGCAGGCGUAAUCUAGCCUUUGAAUAUAUUAGCAUGGGAUAAUGAAAUAGGACUUUAGUCCUACUUUCGUUGGUUUCUAGGGCUAAAGUAAUGAUUAAUAGGGAUAGUUGGGGUCACUAGUAUUUAAUUGUCAGAGGUGAAAUUCUAAGAUUUAUUAAAGACUAACUACUGCGAAAGCAUUUGACAAGGAUGUUUUCAUUAAUCAAGAACGAAAGUUGGGGGAUCGAAGAUGAUCAGAUACCGUCGUAGUCUCAACCAUAAACUAUGCCGACCAAGGAUCCGGGGGUGUUAAAUAUGGAUGACUCUCCGGGCACUUAUAGAGAGAUCAUAAGUAUUUGGGCUCCGGGGGGAGUAUGGUCGCAAGGCUGAAACUUAAAGGAAUUGACGGAAGGGCACCACAAGGAGUGGAACCUGCGGUUUAAUUUGACUCAACACGGGGAAACUUACCAGGUCCAGACACAGUGAGGAUUGACAGAUUGAGAGUUCUUUCUUGAUUCUGUGAGUGGUGGUGCAUGGCCGUUUCUAGUUGGUGGAGUGAUUUGUCUGGUUAAUUCCGUUAACGAACGAGACCUUAACCUAUUAAAUAGUUGCUUGAACACAUGAAUAAUUUAUUCUUUGUUCGGUUAACUUCUUAGAGGGACUCUUCAC
rnacentral:rRNA from 1 species